AUAGCCUGACACUUCCCUGGUGGCACACAUAAGCCUCUUGGUCCAAGUGUUCUGCUUCACCUCUCUGCUUGGAAGGAGAUAGGACCCUCAUAUUGAAAACUGAGAAGAAUGAUGGGAUUGUGGUCAUAAGCCUGCAGUGGACUUAUAAACUAUAAGAGAUUGGUGGUGAGCAGGUGACAACUGAGGAAGGAAAACUGACGGUGACCUACAUUUCAGGACUCAUGUGUGGCUUCUGGGUGUGUUUUUCAUCUGUUCUCUGAUAAAUUCUUCUUCUUUUUUUUUUUUAGUUGUAAUUGGACACAAUACCUUUAUUUUAUUUAUUUUUAUGUGGUGCUGAGGAUGGAACACAGGGCCUUGCACGUGCUAGGCGAGUGCUCUACCGCUGAGCCACAACCUCAGCCCUGAUAAAUUCUUCUUAAGAAUCAGUCCAUCAAAAAUUGGCUCAUAUUUAAUAAGCAUCAACUAGAAACCAAAGACCAGCAUAUCCUGGAAUUCAUAAGACUUCAAAGAUCCCACAACAAUUUUAUUUUCCUCUCAUUUGCCUUCAUCUCGCACAGCCCUCAGCCAGUCUCUGUGUAAUAAACACCUCUGGUGAUUAAUAAUACUUAAAGCCUUGAAGUUAUUUCAAGAUAUAAUCAGAGAAUAAAUUCUUAGUUCCCAAGGAAUGACCAAACAUUCUUAAGCUCCAGGUAGGAAUCUUGGAUCCCAAUACAGUAUUCAUCUUUAUCCCUGGUUCAAGGAAUGACCAAAUAUUUCUAAGCUGGUGGUAGGAACAUUUUUCCUGUUUCCAACAUUUAACUUUGAAUUCUUGAAAUAGUGUCACUCCCAUAAGUCAGAGGUUAGAGAACAUUUUAAAAUGCUUUUAACAGAACAGGUUAUGCCUUAAACUGAAUCACCGCUUCACCUUAAAUGUCCCUCAGCUGCCUGAGAUGACUUCCUGUGCCUGCAUUUAGUCUCUGGCUAAGGCCACAGUGGACACAGCUUUGGCUCUUUCCCAGGUUGAGGCUUCUCUGGCUGAAGGUGUACCUCUUGCUUAGGCGCUUCUGCCUGGAGAAUAUUUGGAACAUUUUAGGUGUCCUUUCCGUUCCCAUUUUAGUUAAGUCUUUCUGUAGUAAAAUGAUAAUAAAAUAAUUCCAGUGUCCUCCUGUUCUGAAGACCUAUAAACUGUGCUGGGUAGAGGCACUUUCCAAAGUAAGACUAGCUGCUGGUCAGCAUAUGAAAUGUGUGGGUAAUGGACCGUAGCACAAGAUAGUAUGAUUUAAUUUGAGCCUGUUAGGAACAAGGGUGAAGGAUGUAGCUCAAUGGUAGAGAACUUGCCUAGCACAUGUGAUGCCCUGGGUUCCAUCCUCAGCACUUAAAAAAAGAAAAGGAACAAGACUUCCCAUUCUGAUCAUUUCCUAUAAAUGAAGCUCAAGGUCCUGUCUGAGAUAGAAGAACACCUGCCUUCCCCCGCAUAUCCCGGUAUUCAUAAGACUUCAAAGAUCCCAUAACAAUUUUAUUUUCUUCUCAUCAGGGGUUGGGAAAUGUGGCGCUCACCUCCCUUCCGCCACUGGGCUUGGACAGCGGUUAAUUUUAAGGCAGAUUUGAAGGCAGUGUUUUCAGCUUUGGAGGCACUUUAGAAUCACCUGGAAAAACUCUGGACACC
rnacentral:lncRNA from 1 species